rnacentral:snoRNA from 1 species
AGCCUCCUUCUUGAUGAGACUGGGCACCUUUGAUCAUGGUGUCCAGAGAUGGUUAAUGGGGCUAAACUGAGGCACAGCUACGCUUCCAUCACAGAAAAUGGAUCGCAGGGGCGACAGUGAGACCUGUAACAUUU